rnacentral:rRNA from 1 species
UUGUAGCCUGCUAUGGUAUAACUUAGUGGCAGACGGGUGAGUAAUAUAUAGGAAUCUACCUAGUAGUACGGAAUAAUUGUUGGAAACGGCAACUAAUACCGUAUACGCCCUACGGGGGAAAAAUUUAUUGCUAUUAGAUGAGCCUAUAUUAGAUUAGCUAGUUGGUGGAGUAAUAGCCUACCAAGGCAAUGAUCUAUAGCUGAUCUGAGAGGAUGAUCAGCCACACUGGAACUGAGAUACGGUCUAGACUCCUACGGGAGGCAGCAGUGGGGAAUAUUGGACAAUGGGCGAAAGCCUGAUCCAGCCAUGCCGCAUGAGUGAAGAAGGCCUUUGGGUUGUAAAGCUCUUUUAGUGAGGAAGAUAAUGACGGUACUCACAGAAGAAGUCCUGGCUAACUCCGUGCCAGCAGCCGCGGUAAUACGGAGAGGGCUAGCGUUAUUCGGAAUUAUUGGGCGUAAAGGGCGCGUAGGCUGGUUAGUAAGUUAAAAGUGAAAUCCCGAGGCUUAACCUUGGAACUGCUUUUAAAACUGCUAACCUAGAGAUUGAAAGAGGAUAGAGGAAUUCCUAGUGUAGAGGUGAAAUUCGUAAAUAUUAGGAGGAACACCAGUGGCGAAGGCGUCUAUCUGGUUCAAAUCUGACGCUGAGGCGCGAAGGCGUGGGGAGCAAACAGGAUUAGAUACCCUGGUAGUCCACGCUGUAAACGAUGAAUGUUAAAUAUGGGAAGUUUACUUUCUGUAUUACAGCUAACGCGUUAAACAUUCCGCCUGGGGACUACGGUCGCAAGAUUAAAACUCAAAGGAAUUGACGGGGACCCGCACAAGCGGUGGAGCAUGUGGUUUAAUUCGAUGCAACGCGAAAAACCUUACCACUCCUUGACAUGAAAAUCAUACCUAUUC